rnacentral:tRNA from 1 species
UCCACAAUAGCUCAGUGGUAGAGCAUCUGAUGUUGAGUCAGAAGGGCGCAGGUUCAAGUCCUGCUUGAGGAACCA